rnacentral:rRNA from 1 species
GGGUGAGUAACGCGUGGGCAACCUGCCCUCCAGUUGGGGACAACAUUCCGAAAGGGAUGCUAAUACCGAAUGUGCUCCCUCCUCCGCAUGGAGGAGGGAGGAAAGAUGGCCUCUGCUUGCAAGCUAUCGCUGGAAGAUGGGCCCGCGUCUGAUUAGCUAGUUGGUGGGGUAACGGCUCACCAAGGCGAUGAUCAGUAGCCGGUCCGAGAGGAUGAACGGCCACAUUGGGACUGAGACACGGCCCAAACUCCUACGGGAGGCAGCAGUGGGGAAUCUUCCGCAAUGGACGAAAGUCUGACGGAGCAACGCCGCGUGAGUGAUGAAGGUCUUCGGAUUGUAAAACUCUGUUGUUAGGGACGAAAGCACCGUGUUCGAACAGGUCAUGGUGUUGACGGUACCUAACGAGGAAGCCACGGCUAACUACGUGCCAGCAGCCGCGGUAAUACGUAGGUGGCAAGCGUUGUCCGGAAUUAUUGGGCGUAAAGAGCAUGUAGGCGGGCUUUUAAGUCUGACGUGAAAAUGCGGGGCUUAACCCCGUAUGGCGUUGGAUACUGGAAGUCUUGAGUGCAGGAGAGGAAAGGGGAAUUCCCAGUGUAGCGGUGAAAUGCGUAGAUAUUGGGAGGAACACCAGUGGCGAAGGCGCCUUUCUGGACUGUGUCUGACGCUGAGAUGCGAAAGCCAGGGUAGCAAACGGGAUUAGAUACCCCGGUAGUCCUGGCCGUAAACGAUGGAUACUAGGUGUAGGAGGUAU